rnacentral:rRNA from 1 species
UACGUAGGCAGCAAGCGUUGUCCGGAGUUACUGGGCGUAAAGGGUGUGUAGGCGGUCCUCUAAGUUUGGUGUGAAAUCUCCCGGCUCAACUGGGAGGGUGCGCCGAAAACUGGAGGGCUAGAGUACUGGAUGGGAGAGUGGAAUUCCUGGUGUAGCGGUGAAAUGCGUAGAUAUCAGGAAGAACACCCGUGGCGAAAGCGGCUCUCUGGAACGGUACUGACGCUGAGACGCGAAAGCGUGGGGAGCGAACAGG